UUUUCUUCUGUUCACUCACUUUGCAUUUUGUUAACUGAUAAAUAUAAACUAUUAACAUGUCUAUUUUUGAAAGCAUUCUUACUUUACAGCAUUUUUUCACACCUGCCUAAAACUUUUGCACAGUACUGUAUGUGUGUAUAUAUAUAUAUAUAUAUAUGUGAGACAUUUGGGAGCACAGAAUCCUCCCCAGUUUAAGAGAAAAACAUAAAUGAAUGGGUUAUUUUAAAUGUCGUUCUUAUCAAGACACAAUCUGCUAAAGUUGAAUUAUCAAAUAUCUGAGUUUUGAAAUUUAAAAGUACAUGAAAAAUUGAAAGAAAUUGACUUGUUUCUACUAGUACAAAAAUAUAAUUCUAUGUAUUAUACUGUACGUAUAAUCAACCCAAAGGAACUGGUGAGGGUGAAGUUACUGGAGCAUUUUGAACUGAGAGUCAAAAAGGUAGUUUAGUAAGAAGGGUAUGCAGGCUCAGGAUGUAAACUGUGACACCUGGAGAAAAGCAAAUUAAAACAGGUUUGAGACUACGUGUAAUGCACUGGUGUGUCAGAUUGUUUUACAUUGUUGUAAAAUGCUCUACAACAUGAAAGCAGCAUCGCAGCCUGGCACUAUCUAAAAAGUUUUCAUUUCCUCAGUUCUCUCCAUUCUUUGUGAAAUGUAUUUUGAAAUUCCCAUAGUCUCUACAGAACUUUAUUUUGCUUCAUAGGAUGCACGGAGAUCCACAAAGUGAAUUUCUAUGGAUCUACAUGCAUACCGAGCUGUAGAAAGAAAUAUAGGGGUUCCGCGGAAAUGUUAGUUGCAGGAUUUCCAUGUACACACCAGAGACUAAACAAAUCAGAGAAAGGGUCUUUUUAUGUGCCUGACUGCAUGUAAUGUGCUGUGUUUCUGUACCUAUGGAUUGACAAACAAAUAAAGACUAGUGCCUCUUAGCCAGACGUUCCCAUGUUUGAGUUCCCCUGAAUCGUUCGCUGGUCUGUAUAGGUUUGCUGUUGUACAGCCGGCAGCAGCACUGGUGUGGAGGGCAUGCCAGGCCAUGCCCUACACAGAUGGUGGUCCUGCAAUAAGACAGAGGAGACUGUUUUUCGGAAGUCAGCACUUUAGUUCUGUUGGCACUGCCCUGUAGCAUGAAUUCUGGUGGCCUGACUGCUUGCCAUGACAAUCAAAUGGUGUCCCUGUGCUUCUUGUGGUGGUGGAGGGGCUUGACUAUAUUAAAGUCAUUGUAGCUAAUCAAGUUAUUUCAUAAUCGACCCUGUUUUGCACAUUAGCUACAUAAGUCUCAAAUGUGCAGUUUUGGAAGAAAUGUUAAGCAAACCUGUAUUUUCAUAAAAAAUAUAAAUCUGGUACCACACAAGGUUCAAGAAAAAUCUCAGAUUCCAAUCUUAUUCUCUGAAAUUCUGUUACACUUCCUGGGUUAUUUCACCUCAGAAGUGUCUUCUAGGUCGAAGUAUUUUACUGAGUCAGUAGGGGGAGCAGCUAGUUAGUUAAUGACAGGAAAGAAGCCGAGAAAUUAGUGGGGUGAACUAUUUUAUCCUCCAGGUGAAAUCGCCAGAAUGUGCAGCUCUAUCUAACCUGCAGUAGUACCAGAUAUCAUAGAUUUACUAGGUUUACUAAUGUGUUUCUUUCAAAACUUCACAUUCUAAGACCUCUAUAACUGCUAAAACUGACGGGAUUAUUUUGUCAGCUGUAAACUGGUGUUUUGUGUAAAUCUUCUUAAGUUCUGUCUUGUAUUCACACAGACUCAUGCAGCUGUAAUGUUAUAACAACAUCAUGAUAUAACAAGGAUAAAUCCACAAUUUCAUGUUUUGCAAAUUAAAUGUAUGUUUUUCUCCUUUUAGAAAAGAAAAGUAAAAAGCCUUUGUGAAUUUCACCCUCAGUGUUAAGUAAAUACUAAUGUUCAGGGCAACUUUGCCUGAGAAUUGAUUCAUUUGUGUUUUAAUGAGGGGGUGGAAGUGGGCUUGCAGUGCUGGAGGAUUUUAGAAUAGUGUUUAGUGAUCAUUUAAGGUGCCAGGUGACAAUAGCAGGGAUAUAAGCAGUGUGUUUUAUUUGCACUUUAUCAAAGCAAGUAGCAUGCAAAUUAAAUUCUGGUUGUGAUGGUUCUUAAAAUUACGAUCUUACUUUUGUUUCAAAGCUCAAUGUUGAGCUUUCAAUUUAAGGCCGGAGCACACAGGUGACGAGGCGGUGCGGUACUGCUAGUCUGCAAUCGGGAUGCACUAUGCAACUGACUUUCUGCUUAAAUAUUGCAGAAAAGUGUAAUGGUAGUUGUCAGUACCAGACCGUAGGCUAUGUACUCCAAUAUAAUGUACAUAUAUAGCCAAAAGUUUUCCAUCACCUAGAAUGUUAGGAUUGAGACAUUUUAUAAAAAAAUAAUAAUUAGCAAAACUAUAUUGGCAUAAUUUUAGAUAUUUUUAUUUAACAUCAUGCGAUCAAAGAAACUACAAAAUGAUAUCGCAAAAUUUUUCUCCGGAAACCACGAUAAUAGUACAGUAUUUCAUGUUUGAUUUUGAAAUGUCACAUUUUUCAAUUUUUGGAAACUACAAAGCAAUAUGUAAUUCAAUAACUUAACGUAACAUUAUUCAACAGGUUUCAUUUGACUUUAUGAAGCAACAUUAGUUAGUUCUAUAGGGUGAUGCAAUCCUUUUGGCCGUAGCUGUAAUGCCCCCAUAUAAUCUACUAAAUAAAAACACUAAUUUGUUUAUCAAAGUUGUUUUUCUGUCAUUUAUAUGCAGGUGUAUGAACUUUUUUUUACAAACUCAAUAAAAUUGGAAAUACAAUCUGCCUCUUAAAACAGAAAACAUAAAAGAAAAAAAAAAAUAUUUAUUUUAAUAAGUAUCAGAAUAUAGCUGCUACCAACAUUUAAUUUUUACAGCACUAUUGAACAGAAUGCAUAUCAACAUGGCGGACAAACUCUUAAGUUUUAUCUAAAACUAAAUUUACAGCAAAUCCUGCUAAUUUUAUCAACAAAACUAAAGUAAUGAAAAUCGCUUACCUAAUCAUCUUCUAUAUGCUAAUGCCAAAUCAAAGCCUGAAUCAAUAGCUUGGUCGGUUUAUGCAACUGUUCCAACAUCAUUUUGUUUUGCUGUUUGUGAAACAGAUCUUUCGUGAUCGGGUUCCUUGUUAGCAGUCGUCAUUCGGAAGUUACUUCAAAGUCUUUGAACUUGGAUGGGAGUUUCCUCACUCUGAUGGACGCAACACUUGGGGAGCUAUUGUUUCCCUAGGCUGAGUUUUGGAACUGUGUGGAAGUUCACCCAGUGCCGAUUCCGAGACUUCCUCUGGUGUUUCCCUUUCAGUAGUAACCUCAGUUACUGGUCCUGUUACAUCAUUUACAGGCAGUGAAGAAUGAGGCAGAGGAUCUUCGUCAGUCAUUGGCAGCAGGGACCGGGGCACUUGUCAGGAUAGAAGGGAAAAUGAAUGGAGCAAAAUACAGAGGAAAACCUGCUGCCCUCUGCAAGAAAGCUGAAACUGGGACGGAAGUUCACCUUUCAGCAUGACAAUGAUCCAAAGCACACAGCCAAAGCUACACUGGAGUGGCUAAGGAACAAAAAGGUAAAAGUCCUUGAGUGGCCCAGUCAGAGCCCCGACCUAAAUCCAAUCGAAAAUUUGUGGCAUGACUUGAAGAUUGCUGUCCAUCAACGCUCCCCAAGGUACUUGACAGAGCUUAAACAGUUUUGUAAAGAAGAAGAAUGGUCAAAUAUUGCCAAAUCUAGGUGUGCAAAGUUGGUAGAGACCUAUCCCAACAGACUCACAGCUGUAAUUGCUGCCAAAGGUGCUUCCACCACGUAUUAACUCAGGGGGGUGGAGACUUAUCCAAUUAUGAUCUUUCAGUUUUGUAUUUAACUUUUUUCCCCUUAACAGUGUGGAGUAUGGUGUGUAGAUAAGUGGAAAAAUAUCCUCAUUUAAAUGCAUGAAACUGAGACACCGACAACAAAAUGUGAAAAAAGUUCAAGGGGGUGUAGACUUUCUAUAGGCACUGUAUACAUAUAUAAAUGUUUUUCUUUUUGCAUGUGAUAGGUGAAUAAAAUAUGCUGAAUUCUGCCAUUCUAUUCAUGUUGAGCUCUGAUAAACCUCUACGCAUGACUAUAUAUUGAUGUACUUUACAUAACCAAAUGAGAUGUCCUUUUUAUUGGAAUACCAUGUUCCUUCUCAAAAAUCUGUUUUAAUAUUAAACUUUAAUAAAAGAAAACACCUGUAUUUUGAGGUAUCUAUUUCA